ACCGGACGCUGGCGGCAGGCUUAACACAUGCAAGUCGAGCGGAGAUGAGGUGCUUGCACCUUAUCUUAGCGGCGGACGGGUGAGUAAUGCUUAGGAAUCUGCCUAUUAGUGGGGGACAACAUUCCGAAAGGAAUGCUAAUACCGCAUACGCCCUACGGGGGAAAGCAGGGGAUCUUCGGACCUUGCGCUAAUAGAUGAGCCUAAGUCGGAUUAGCUAGUUGGUGGGGUAAAGGCCUACCAAGGCGACGAUCUGUAGCGGGUCUGAGAGGAUGAUCCGCCACACUGGGACUGAGACACGGCCCAGACUCCUACGGGAGGCAGCAGUGGGGAAUAUUGGACAAUGGGCGGAAGCCUGAUCCAGCCAUGCCGCGUGUGUGAAGAAGGCCUUUUGGUUGUAAAGCACUUUAAGCGAGGAGGAGGCUACCUGGAUUAAUACUCUAGGAUAGUGGACGUUACUCGCAGAAUAAGCACCGGCUAACUCUGUGCCAGCCGCCGCGGUAAAAC
rnacentral:rRNA from 1 species